rnacentral:rRNA from 1 species
AAAGAAUUUCGGUAUGGGAUGGGGAUGCGUUCCAUUAGUUAGUUGGCGGGGUAACGGCCCACCAAGACAACGAUGGAUAGGGGUUCUGAGAGGAAGGUCCCCCACAUUGGAACUGAGACACGGUCCAAACUCCUACGGGAGGCAGCAGUGAGGAAUAUUGGUCAAUGGACGAGAGUCUGAACCAGCCAAGUAGCGUGAAGGAUGACUGCCCUAUGGGUUGUAAACUUCUUUUAUAUGGGAAUAAAACGUUCCACGUGUGGGAUUUUGUAUGUACCAUAUGAAUAAGGAUCGGCUAACUCCGUGCCAGCAGCCGCGGUAAUACGGAGGAUCCGAGCGUUAUCCGGAUUUAUUGGGUUUAAAGGGAGCGUAGGUGGAUUGUUAAGUCAGUUGUGAAAGUUUGCGGCUCAACCGUAAAAUUGCAGUUGAAACUGGCAGUCUUGAGUACAGUAGAGGUGGGCGGAAUUCGUGGUGUAGCGGUGAAAUGCUUAGAUAUCACGAAGAACUCCGAUUGCGAAGGCAGCUCACUGGACUGCAACUGACGCUGAGGCUCGAAAGUGUGGGUAUCAAACAGGAUUAGAUACCCUGGUAGUCCACACAGUAAACGAUGAAUACUCGCUGUUUGCGAUAUACAGCAA